UAUUUUUUCAAAUAUCUGUAUUCUUUUCUUCAGAGACACUAUAGGAGUCUAAAUAAAAACAGACAAGGCAUGUGUUGCAAAGCCUUUAAUUAGAAUGUUUGUAUUUUUUACAUCAUGCAUAACUUCACAUUUGUGAUUAAUUAGUAAUUAUUUCAAUACUUGUAAGCUCAUCUGCCUCAGAUUUAAUCAUAAUACAUGAAUUAAAUUAAUCAAAUUAAGGAACAGCAAUUUAGAAAGAAACACACUUUAAGAAAUCAAAAUUCUCAAUUCAGGCAGUCUGUUUCUAUCAUUUGGUAUUCUACUCCUUUAAAAAUUUCAUAUUGCCCAACAAAAAGUGGUUAUUUUUACUGUUUUUGGAGAUGACUGAACAGAUCAGCUGGUAUUUUGCCUAAGAUCUAUUUAAGAUAACCUUUUCUUAUAUUUUUUACUUAAUAUUGGGCAUAAUCGUAUCAUUCAAGAUUAAGUCUGGGUUAUUUCUUUGAUAAGAACUGAAUGUGGCCGGGCGCAGUGGCACAUGCCUGUAAUCCCAGCUACUUGGGAGGCUGAGGUGGGAGGAUCACUGGAGCCUAGGAGGUCAAGGCUGUAGUGAGCUGUGAUCACACUACUGCACUUCAGCUUGAGUUACAGAUUGAGACCCUGUCUCAUAAAUAAAUAA
rnacentral:lncRNA from 1 species